UGUGAGGAGGAGUUGGAAGAAGGAUGGACACCCAGGUCAGUGGAAGGAAGGAGAAGAACAUGGGGGAGGUGUGCUGGAGCAGAGACCCAUAUAUCCAGUGGUGAGAGAGCAGGACUGUCCACCCUGACACACAUGGAGGUCUGCGGUAGUGUAGAGGCCGACCUGAAGCCUGUGGAGGAGCGCACACCAGGACAGAUCUGGAUACAGUAGCACCUGAAUUCAGGCUGACCAGAGAAGCUGCUUGGCAAGUUAUGUUGUCCACAAGUUUUGGGAAUUCUCCCAUCCAUGGAAAUGGCCGGUGGAAUUUGCCUAUUUCAGGUUAUAUAAACUUUAUGAUGGUUUGCGUUUUUUUCACAUUCUCUGCAGUUUGAAUGAAAAUGUGCUUCUACUGUCAUUGGCUGCAAAGGAAGCUGCUAUGACCAAUGACUCUGAGGUCUGCAUGCACAUUAGCAUUGCAAUAAAUUGUAUCUGCACAUAAGAUGAAACACAUUAAAAGUGAUUCAGAAAUGUCAGUUGCUUGUAUGAUAUGCAGCAAUGUGAAAUAGAGCAAAUGAAAAUUCAGUAGAAGAUGUUGCACAAGUCCUGGGUUGGAGCUGCAGCAGGAGCUGGGUCAGUGUACAUGUUGCUUUCUGCAGUGCAGAUGCUCUGGCUGCUCUGAGUGGGUUCUCCACUGAUCAGCUGCAGUUCACUGUGAAGUGAAGAGCAGCUUUGCUAUGGUUGGAGUGGCUGCAUGUUCCAGGGAACACUAGUGGAGUAGCUCAGUGUCUCAGAGAUCAUCAGUUACAGCUUUGCCAGCAAAAUUGGAAGCAUGUCUCUGGAAGGGUUUACAACAGCUGAUGGAAAUGUUGUAGCUUAGCUAUGACGAGAUCUCUUCUUUGCAGUGAUCCAGCCCUCAGCUUGACUGUCAUCUCAGAAAUGGAGGGAAGAUGCUAGAUUUGCAUUUGAACACAAUCAUGAUUGUUAUUUGUGUUUAUUGAGUGGUGCCUGCCAUCUUAGGGCAGGGAAGGGGGCACAAUGCCAGAAGAACCUGUGUGACAACCUUGAAUAUCUGUGAGCCUGUGCCCUGUUUGCCCUGAGGAGAAGAGGGGGUCUACAGAGGCACACCUGGAGCUGGAAAGCUGCUCAGUGGGUGUGCUCCCUCACUCAUGCACUGCCUGCUCUUCUGCAUUGGGGUGGAGGCUGGUCUGCCAUCAAGGACAGAACUGGUGGGGUUGUUGGCAGAAGAAAGUUGUGCAACACACACAGAGUAGGCCAGUACAGUGGGGCAGCUUUUAGAGACAACAAACUACUAAAAAAUACUGAAAAAUGAAUUUGCAACAUCAUCAUAAGCUUUGCAACACACUGGCUUUAUGAGGAGUUCCUAAUUGUUCCUUAUGACCCUGACAGAAGACAUCUGUGUUGAAGGUUGGAGGAAAGCAGUUUGGGAAAGGAAGUCAGCCCCAAGCUGGAUGUAUACCUUGGCAACUCUCAUACACAACUGAACUAUGCAAAGAAGAUGGAAUGGGGUCAAGCAUCUGGCCUGACUCUUGUAGUUUUUAAGAAUAAUCUCUGCAGAAACAAUUUGUUUUCAUUCUGAUGAACUUAUUGGUAAGGCUGAGAAACUGUUGUACUAUGAAAUAACUCAAUAACAUUUACAUUUUCCGUAAAAGUGAAAUCUUUCUCUGUAUAACAAUUUCAAGGUUGACAGAAGGACUGAUUGCUGCUGAGAAAUGGAUAAUUCAUCAUUUUAACCUGUAAUAAAGUAUUAAGCAGGUGCUUUUGCAGUAACCUUU